rnacentral:rRNA from 1 species
CUACGGGGUGCAGCAGUGGGGAAUAUUGCGCAAUGGGCGAAAGCCUGACGCAGCGACGCCGUGUGAGGGAAGAAGGUUUUCGGAUCGUAAACCUCUGUCAGGAGGGAAGAAACCAUUAGGGUCCAAUAGGCCCUUUUGCUGACGGUACCUCCAGAGGAAGCACCGGCUAACUCCGUGCCAGCAGCCGCGGUAAUACGGAGGGUGCGAGCGUUAAUCGGAAUCACUGGGCGUAAAGCGCACGUAGGCGGCUUUGCAAGUCGGGCGUGAAAGCCCUCGGCUCAACCGAGGAAUUGCGCUCGAAACUGCAUUGCUUGAGUCCGAGAGAGGGUGGCGGAAUUCCGGGUGUAGGAGUGAAAUCCGUAGAUAUCCGGAGGAACACCAGUGGCGAAGGCGGCCACCUGGAUCGGUACUGACGCUGAGGUGCGAAAGCGUGGGGAGCAAACAGGAUUAGAUACCCUUGUAGUC